rnacentral:sRNA from 1 species
AGUCGUAACAAGGUUUCCGUAGGUGAACCUGCGGAAGGAUCAUUGUCGAAACCUGCCCAGCAGAACGACCCGCGAACUUGUGAUUACGCUCGAGCGGGUCCGACGUGGGGAGCUCUGGCUGCCCUCGUUGGUCCCCCUCCUGCUGUGGGGGGUGAGCGAGAUCUCUCGCUCGCUCCUUGCGGCAGUACAACGAACCCCCGGCGCGAGUUGCGCCAAGGAAAAUUUAACGAGAGAGAGCACUCCCGUCGCCCCGGACACGGAUCGACGUGCGGGAUGUGUCUCCUUCUUUCAAUGAAAAUCAAAAACGACUCUCGGCAACGGAUAUCUCGGCUCUCGCAUCGAUGAAAAAUGCGAUACUUGGUGUGAAUUGCAGAAUCCCGUGAACCAUCGAGUCUUUGAACGCAAGUUGCGCCCCAAGCCUUUAGGCCGAGGGCACGCCUGCCUGGGUGUCACGCAUCGUUGCCCCCCAAAAACCCUCUUCGGGAAUAACUGGACGGGCGGAAACUGGCCUCCCGUGCGCUCGUGCUCGCGGUUGGCCCAAAUCUGAGUCUUUCGGUGACCGUGCCGCGACGAUCGGUGGUGUAACAUGCCUCUCGAGCUCCUGUCGCGCGCUCGCGUCUCCGUGCCACGGGCUCGCGGACCCUUGUAAGCGYCGUCUCUUUGAGACGGUGCUCGCUUUGCGACCCCAGGUCAGACGGGACUACCCGCUGAGUUUAAGCA